rnacentral:tRNA from 1 species
UCUCCAGUAGCUCAGAAGAUAGAGCACGUAGAAGCCGGCGAUAACAUGCCUACGAUGUCAUGGGUUCGAGUCCCAUCUGGAGAGCCA